UUAAGUUCAGCGGGUAGUCCUACCUGAUUUGAGGUCAAAGCUUAAGUUAAUGUCCUAAUCGGACGACUAUAAGCAGCACACAUAGAAGGGGCAUGAAGGCGACGGCGCAGAUAAUUAUCACACCAUGCCAAGCACCCUAAAAAGUGCAAGCUAAUGUAUUUCAGGAUGAGCCAACUACGGCACAAUCCAAAUCCACCAUU
rnacentral:misc_RNA from 1 species